rnacentral:rRNA from 1 species
GCAGUCGACGAGAAGCUUCCUUCGGGAAGUAAGUAGAGUGGCGCACGGGUGAGUAACGCGUAGGUAAUCUACCCUUAUGACUGGGAUAACAUUGGGAAACUGGUGCUAAUACCGGAUACACUUCUUUACUGCGGGGUAAAGGAGGAAAGGUGGCCUCUUCAUGAAAGCUACCGUAUAGGGAUGAGCCUGCGUACCAUUAGCUAGUAGGCGGGGUAACGGCCCACCUAGGCAACGAUGGUUAGCGGGUCUGAGAGGAUGAUCCGCCACACUGGAACUGGAACACGGACCAGACUCCUACGGGAGGCAGCAGUGAGGAAUAUUGCGCAAUGGGGGAAACCCUGACGCAGCGACGCCGCGUGAGUGAGGAAGGUUUUCGGAUCGUAAAGCUCUGUCAGAAGGGAAGAAGUGUUAUAUGUUUAAUACGCAUAUAAUUUGACGGUACCUUCAGAGGAAGCACCGGCUAACUCCGUGCCAGCAGCCGCGGUAAUACGGAGGGUGCAAGCGUUGUUCGGAAUUACUGGGCGUAAAGGGCGCGUAGGCGGCUGGAUAAGUCAGAUGUGAAAGUCCAUGGCUCAACUGUGGAAGUGCAUUUGAAACUGUCCGGCUUGAGUAUCGGAGGGGAGUGUGGAAUUCCCGGUGUAGAGGUGAAAUUCGUAGAGAUCGGGAGGAACACCGGUGGCGAAGGCGACGCUCUGGACGAAUACUGACGCUGAGGCGCGAAAGCGUGGGGAGCAAACAGGAUUAGAUACCCUGGUAGUCCACGCCGUAAACGAUGUGAACUAGG